rnacentral:rRNA from 1 species
UUCUACCUACGGGGCGCAGCAGUGAGUAAUAUUGGUUUUUGGGCGGCCGGCUGAACCAGCCAAGCCGCGUGAAGGACGAAGGUGCCAAGCAUUGUAAACUUCUUUUGUCAAGGGACAAAAUCAGGCUCGAGAGCCUGACCGAGGGUACUUGAAGAAAAAGCAUCGGCUAACUCCGUACCAGCAGCCGCGGUAAUAAGGAGGAUGCGAGCGUUAUCCGGAUUUAUUGGGUUUAAAGGGUGCGUAGGCGGGCUGUUAAGUCAGCGGUAAAAGCCCGGGGCUCAACCCCGGCGAGCCGUUGAAACUGG